GCGCGGCUGACUGGUCCGCUUUACGGCGUGUACUGGUCUCGGCCGUGCUUUUCCUCUUGGGCCGCUCGAGAGUGCUUCAUUGUGCGCUCGGGAUGGCUUAGGACUUUUACUUUGAAAAAAUUAGAGUGUUCAAAGCAGGCAUUUGCUCGGAUACAUUAGCAUGGAAUAAUGGAAUAGGGCUGCUGCCCCAUUUUGUUGGUUUCUGGGACCGUAGCA
rnacentral:rRNA from 1 species